CCUACGGGUGGCAGCAGUGAGGAAUAUUGGUCAAUGGACGAGAGUCUGAACCAGCCAAGUAGCGUGAAGGAUGACUGCCCUAUGGGUUGUAAACUUCUUUUAUAUGGGAAUAAAAUGGUCCACGGGUGGGAUUUUGUAUGUACCAUAUGAAUAAGGAUCGGCUAACUCCGUGCCAGCAGCCGCGGUAAUACGGAGGAUCCGAGCGUUAUCCGGAUUUAUUGGGUUUAAAGGGAGCGUAGGUGGAUUGUUAAGUCAGUUGUGAAAGUUUGCGGGUCAACCGUAAAAUUGCAGUUGAAACUGGCAGUCUUGAGUACGGUAGAGGUAGGCGGAAUUCGUGGUGUAGCGGUGAAAUGCUUAGAUAUCACGAAGAACUCCGAUUGCGAAGGCAGUUCACUGGACUGCAACUGACACUGAGGCUCGAAAGUGUGGGUAUCAAACAGGAUUAGAUACCCCGGUAGUC
rnacentral:rRNA from 1 species